rnacentral:misc_RNA from 1 species
GUGAAUCAUCGAAUCUUUGAACGCAAAUUGCACUUCCUGGUAUUCCGGGGAGUAUGCCUGUUUGCGGGUCAGCCUAAAAAAAAUAGACAUUGUUGCUGUUCCGCGGUGGCGUCCGUCGGAAAUUGGGUUAUCUUAAACCUUUUGGUUUAAGCGACUUAAAAGUUUCCUUUUGUUUCAAUGAACGUUAAUAAGUUUUAUUUCUUUACAAGUUCAAGGUAUCGCUUUUUAUUAGACGUGGCCGUCAUAUCGGAGCGCGUCCAUC